rnacentral:rRNA from 1 species
UCUCGCGAGGGGAAAGAUGAAAAGGACUUUGAAAAGAGAGUUAAAAAGUGCUUGAAAUUGCUGGGAGGGAAGCGAAUGGAUGCCUUUGUUGCCCGCUGGUUGUGUGCGGAACGGCGUAAAAGCUGGUCUGUCAACCAACUCAGCGGGCUCGCUAGUGUGGGGGUGGAUGCCUGGACAAAGAUCCCGGGCUUUCUGUUCGGGAUUGAUGCUGGUGUCCACUCUGUGGCCUUGGGUGUGCGCCUUUCUGGCGGGUUUGUUUACCCUGCACGCCCGGGACGCUGGUGGCUUUUGGUUUUUCAUUCGACCCGUCUUGAAACACGGACCAAGGAGUCUAACAUGUAUGCGAGCCUGCGGGUUUGACACCUCGCUAGGCGUAAGGAAACUGAUGCGUGGGAUCCCCUUUGUGGGUGCACCACCGACCGACCAUGAGCUUCUGCGAAAGGUUCGAGUUGAAGCAUACCUGCUGGGACCCGAAAGAUGGUGAACUAUGCCUGAGCAGGGCGAAGCCAGAGGAAACUCUGGUGGAGGCUCGUAGCGAUACUGACGUGCAAAUCGUUCGUCAGACUUGGGUAUAGGGGCGAAAGACUAAUCGAACCAUCUAGUAGCUGGUUCCCUCCGAAGUAUCCCUCAGGAUAGCUGGAGCUCAUAUUGAGAGUUUUAUCAGGUAAAGCGAAUGAUUAGAGGCAUUGGGGGUGAAACACCCUCGACCUAUUCUCAAACUUUAAAUAGGUAAGGUGUCGGGGUUGCUCCGGUGAACCCCGACCUUUGAAUCUGAGCUCCAAGUGGGCCAUUUUUGGUAAGCAGAACUGGA